CUACGGGCGGCUCCAGUGGGGAAUAUUGGACAAUGGGGGAAACCCUGAUCCAGCAAUGCCGCGUGUGUGAAGAAGGCCUGCGGGUUGUAAAGCACUUUCGGUUGGGAGGACUGCUUCUAGCACUAAUAUUGUUGGAAGUUGACGUUACCUUCAGAAGAAGCACCGGCUAACUCCGUGCCAGCAGCCGCGGUAAUACGGAGGGUGCAAGCGUUAAUCGGAAUUACUGGGCGUAAAGCGCGCGUAGGCGGCUAGAUCAGUCGGGUGUGAAAGCCCCGGGCUUAACCUGGGAACUGCAUCCGAUACUGGCUAGCUUGAGUACAGGAGAGGAGAGUGGAAUACCACAUGUAGCGGUGAAAUGCGUAGAUAUGUGGAGGAACACCAAUGGCGAAGGCAGCUCUCUGGCCUGAUACUGACGCUGAGGUGCGAAAGCGUGGGAGCAAACAGGAUUAGAUACCCCCGUAGUC
rnacentral:rRNA from 1 species